ensembl:lncRNA ZBTB20-AS1 ZBTB20 antisense RNA 1
ACGGAAUUGCUGAAGUUGUGAAGGUUGAUGCUGUGAAUGCGCUCGGUCAUCCCCUUGCAACUGAUGUCACCUGCAGCAUGUCAACGCAGACACAAAACAGGGCAUGGGUCAGAUCUAGCUGGUUGCAUUCCUAACACCUAGGUUUCAGAGUAAAAAUACAGAGUCAGCUUGUGAUGGCAUUCCCUCAAAACAUGGAAGGAAUUGCAGUAAUGAAAGUCAUCAUGUAUUCUAAGAGACUGUUCUGCGAGAGCACAACACAGACGGGGCUAAAGCAGGGAUUGUCUAAGCCCAGUGUGGAGGAACCAUCAAGGAUUUCAGCACGUUUUUUUAGCCAUUGUGAGAAGCAAAAGUGCUCAGGAGUUAAGAGAAGCAGACGUCCGAAAUUAUCUCCAUGCAUUACCAAAAACCGUGGGCACCACGGCACGGGGAAAACUUACCAGACAACUCUCAUGCCAUCAAGCCGACGGACUUUCAAAAAAAUAAAAGAUGCAUUUCUUUACUUGAGCUACGGUGAAAGGGCACCUAAGGUGAAUGGACAGAUUGUAGAUGGGUGCACACAGGAAAAUGUACAGCUCCUACAAUGUAUUCUGAGGGCCCAUGAGAAGUAAAAGCAGGCACUGGCAUUCUGCACAGAUGAAAUACUUCCUACGACAGGAAUACAUGCUCACUUGUGGACUUCUCUGUAAUCUGUAGGCAACAUCAGCUCCUGAUUUCUAGGUCUGGAUCUGGGUUCUCUGUAGCACAGGAAGGUCUCUACUUCUCCUACAUAAAUGCCUUGCAUGGCGGGAACUAAAUCAACUACACAGACCCAUACAUCCAGAGAGCAGAGGUGAGCUGGAUACAAGUGGCUUAGAGAUGUGGUGGAAGGAGGCCAGAGCUCCAAGGGAAGGGCAGCAAGGAGACAACAGCAUGGGUUGCAGCUCAGACAACAGGUAAAUAAAACCAAGCAAAGCUGCUGGUCACAGAUUUGACCAGGGUGGCAAGAAAUGACAAGCUACCAUGAGAUUCAACAGUGGCACGGAAGGAUGAUGAGAAGCAAACAGAUUAGGAGAAGCUGCCACCACCGUACAUAGAGGCACAGAUGACCAAGCAGAACAGCACCAGUCCCUGCAAGGUGUGCUCAGAUACAGCUCAGCACAGCCAUCUGGCCAGGAGGGAAUGAUAAUGCACAUGGUGUGCACUGCAGCCGGGAAGUUGAGAACCGCUGUGGGCACCUCAGGACUGAGUCUGGUUACCCUGCUGAUCCAAGAAAUGAAGCCAUCUAAAAUUUUGCCUGCUUUCACAA